UAGCUCAGUUGGUUAGAGCAUCUGACUGUUAAUCAGAGGGUCACUGGUUCAAGUCCAG
rnacentral:tRNA from 1 species